GCAAACUGACUAAUUGGAAACUGACAUGCAGAUAUAAUAAUAAGCUUUCGAUCAUCUCCAACUCCUCCCCACUUUUAUCAGUCAACCUGUCACUGGUGUAGGUUAUCCACAAUCCACAUCUUUCUUAACCAAAGUGACUCAAUUUUGUUUUGGGCUGCAUAUACCAUCAAGUAAAUGAUUCUAGAUAAAAAAAACCAAGAGGGUUGGUCUAUGUUAGACUCCUAAGAUGUGACAAACUAAGGUUUGAAUCUCAG
rnacentral:lncRNA from 1 species